rnacentral:lncRNA from 1 species
UAAGAAGAAAUAGAUCAAUUGUUGUGGAUUUGUUCCAUGGGCAGCUAAGAUCUCAAGUAAAAUGCAAGACAUGUGGGCAUAUAAGUGUCCGAUUUGACCCUUUCAAUUUUUUGUCUUUGCCACUACCAAUGGACAGUUAUAUGCAAUUAGAAAUAACAGUGAUUAAGUUAGAUGGUACUACCCCUGUACGGUAUGGACUAAGACUGAAUAUGGAUGAAAAGUACACAGGUUUAAAAAAACAGCUGAGUGAUCUCUGUGGACUUAAUUCAGAACAAAUCCUUCUAGCAGAAGUACAUGGUUCCAACAUAAAGAACUUUCCUCAGGACAACCAAAAAGUACGACUCUCAGUGAGUGGAUUUUUGUGUGCAUUUGAAAUUCCUGUCCCUGCGUCUCCAAUUUCAGCUUCUAGUCCAACACAGACAGAUUUCUCCUCUUCGCCAUCUACAAAUGGAAUGUUCACCCUUACUACCAAUGGGGACCUACCCCGACCAAUAUUCAUCCCCAAUGGAAUGCCAAACACUGUUGUGCCAUGUGGAACUGAGAAGAACUUCACAAAUGGAAUGGUUAAUGGUCACAUGCCAUCUCUUCCUGACAGCCCCUUUACAGGUUACAUCAUUGCAGUCCACCGAAAA